UUCCUUCCUUAGUUUCUUACUCAAUGCUGCCGAUACAGUCCAGUAACGUUACAUGUCCCGUUGUCCUAUCUGUGAGCCAGAUCUACAUGUCAAGCGUAUCGCUCCAAGUAUUUGCGAAGUAAGCCAGGCAGACCACACAAGGCAACGGACAAGGUAGAAAAGAACAAGAAGACCAAGAACCCCGGUAAAUCCAAUCCUUACCAGGUCAUUCCGUUGAGGACCGGGAAUACAAGGCCAGGCUUCUGAGCAAACCUUGGCAACGGACGGUCAACAGCAUAUUGACUAUUGAUACCACUUCAAGGGAAUUAACGUCAGCCGCGUGUAGAAUGGAGAGUGCUGUAUUCAACGUGUGGCCAGGCCAUUUACUGCCCUUAUUGUCCUUGCGGGACAUCAUCCAGCUGUGUGGAACCUCCAAGCAUUUGAAGGCGCUGCUAAUCGAUGAAAACAUGUUUAGCAUUCUAUGUCGGCAACGCUAUCAACUCAGGCCUCAUUUGGACGUGUCAUAUAUAGACGCUGCCAUAAACCUGGAAAUUGUCACCGGUGUGGCCAGCGUGUAUCAUAGCCAUUGCAUCGAUACUAUGCGUUGCAUUUACGGCAGCCAUGUGGAUGUUGCUUUGGUCGGCAGAGCAAAGAAGCAGUCGAUUAUCACACUGUCGUGCCUAGAGUUGAUGCUGCCAGCACAGCUGAGUGAUACCACUAGCUGGGACAGCGCUGGCCUGUUCAAGUCACUC